rnacentral:rRNA from 1 species
AGAAUGAACCGGCGAGUUACGAUCCCGUGCGAGGUUAAGCUGAAGAGGCGGAGCCGCAGCGAAAGCGAGUCUGAAUAGGGCGUUUAGUACGUGGUCGUAGACCCGAAACCAGGUGAUCUACCCAUGUCCAGGGUGAAGUUCAGGUAACACUGAAUGGAGGCCCGAACCCACGCACGUUGAAAAGUGCGGGGAUGAGGUGUGGGUAGCGGAGAAAUUCCAAUCGAACCUGGAGAUAGCUGGUUCUCCCCGAAAUAGCUUUAGGGCUAGCCUUAAGUGUAAGAGUCUUGGAGGUAGAGCACUGAUUGGACUAGGGGUCCUCAUCGGAUUACCGAAUUCAGUCAAACUCCGAAUGCCAAUGACUUAUCCUUAGGAGUCAGACUGCGAGUGAUAAGAUCCGUAGUCAAAAGGGAAACAGCCCAGACCGCCAGCUAAGGUCCCAAAGUGUGUAUUAAGUGGAAAAGGAUGUGGAGUUGCUUAGACAACUAGGAUGUUGGCUUAGAAGCAGCCACCAUUUAAAGAGUGCGUAAUAGCUCACUAGUCGAGUGACUCUGCGCCGAAAAUGUACCGGGGCUAAAUACACCACCGAAGCUGCGGAUUGAUACCAAUGGUAUCAGUGGUAGGGGAGCGUUCUAAGGACAGUGAAGUCAGACCGGAAGGACUGGUGGAGUGCUUAGAAGUGAGAAUGCCGGUAUGAGUAGCGAAAGACGGGUGAGAAUCCCGUCCACCGAAUGCCUAAGGUUUCCUGAGGAAGGCUCGUCCGCUCAGGGUUAGUCAGGACCUAAGCCGAGGCCGACAGGCGUAGGCGAUGGACAACAGGUUGAUAUUCCUGUACCACCUCUUUAUCGUUUGAGCAAUGGAGGGACGCAGAAGGAUAGAAGAAGCGUGCGAUUGGUUGUGCACGUCCAAGCAGUUAGGCUGAUAAGUAGGCAAAUCCGCUUAUCGUGAAGGCUGAGCUGUGAUGGGGAAGCUCCUUAUGGAGCGAAGUCUUUGAUUCCCCGCUGCCAAGAAAAGCUUCUAGCGAGAUAAAAGGUGCCUGUACCGCAAACCGACACAGGUAGGCGAGGAGAGAAUCCUAAGGUGUGCGAGAGAACUCUGGUUAAGGAACUCGGCAAAAUGACCCCGUAACUUCGGGAGAAGGGGUGCUUUCUUAACGGAAAGCCGCAGUGAAUAGGCCCAAGCGACUGUUUAGCAAAAACACAGCUCUCUGCGAAGCCGUAAGGCGAAGUAUAGGGGGUGACACCUGCCCGGUGCUGGAAGGUUAAGGAGAGGGGUUAGCGUAAGCGAAGCUCUGAACUGAAGCCCCAGUAAACGGCGGCCGUAACUAUAACGGUCCUAAGGUAGCGAAAUUCCUUGUCGGGUAAGUUCCGACCCGCACGAAAGGUGUAACGAUUUGGGCACUGUCUCAACCAGAGACUCGGUGAAAUUAUAGUACCUGUGAAGAUGCAGGUUACCCGCGACAGGACGGAAAGACCCCGUGGAGCUUUACUGUAGCCUGAUAUUGAAUUUUGGUACAGUUUGUACAGGAUAGGCGGGAGCCUUUGAAACCGGAGCGCUAGCUUCGGUGGAGGCGCUGGUGGGAUACCGCCCUGACUGUAUUGAAAUUCUAACCUACGGGUCUUAUCGACCCGGGAGACAGUGUCAGGUGGGCAGUUUGACUGGGGCGGUCGCCUCCUAAAGUGUAACGGAGGCGCCCAAAGGUUCCCUCAGAAUGGUUGGAAAUCAUUCGUAGAGUGCAAAGGCAUAAGGGAGCUUGACUGCGAGACCUACAAGUCGAGCAGGGACGAAAGUCGGGCUUAGUGAUCCGGUGGUUCCGCAUGGAAGGGCCAUCGCUCAACGGAUAAAAGCUACCCCGGGGAUAACAGGCUUAUCUCCCCCAAGAGUCCACAUCGACGGGGAGGUUUGGCACCUCGAUGUCGGCUCAUCGCAUCCUGGGGCUGUAGUCGGUCCCAAGGGUUGGGCUGUUCGCCCAUUAAAGCGGUACGCGAGCUGGGUUCAGAACGUCGUGAGACAGUUCGGUCCCUAUCCGUCGUGGGCGUAGGAAAUUUGAGAGGAGCUGUCCUUAGUACGAGAGGACCGGGAUGGACGCACCGCUGGUGUACCAGUUGUUCUGCCAAGGGCAUAGCUGGGUAGCUAUGUGCGGAAGGGAUAAGUGC